AACGAACGCUGGCGGCAGGCCUAACACAUGCAAGUCGAACGCUCCGCAAGGGGAGUGGCAGACGGGUGAGUAACACGUGGGAGCCUACCUCGAGGUGCGGAACAACCAAGGGAAACUUUGGCUAAUACCGCAUGUGCCCUUAGGGGGAAAGAUUUAUCGCCUUGGGAUGGGCCCGCGUCGGAUUAGCUAGUUGGUGUGGUAAUGGGCGCACCAAGGCGACGAUCCGUAGCUGGUCUGAGAGGAUGAUCAGCCACACUGGGACUGAGACACGGCCCAGACUCCUACGGGAGGCAGCAGUGGGGAAUAUUGGACAAUGGGCGCAAGCCUGAUCCAGCCAUGCCGCGUGUGUGAUGAAGGCCUUAGGGUUGUAAAGCACUUUCGCCGAUGAAGAUAAUGACUGUAGUCGGAGAAGAAGCCCCGGCUAACUUCGUGCCAGCAGCCGCGGU
rnacentral:rRNA from 1 species